AUGGCUUCCCGGCGUGUCCUUCUACUCCUCGCCGUCAUCGGCUCGUUCUGCGCCACGCCGGCAGCGGCGAUUGGUAAUGGUAACCCUUCCUGCUCGACUAAAGAUAACUACACCGACGGCAGCCAGUACAAGAAGAGCCUCGACGAGCUCCUCGCCGCCCUCCCCGCGGCUGCCGGCGAUAACGGCUGGUUCUACAACGGCACGGCCGGGCUGCCGGGGACGCCCGACCAGGUCUUCGGCCUCGUCAUGUGCUACGCCGACAGCAACGCGAUGCAGUGCCAGGAAUGCCUGGCCGAUGCUCCAGCCCGGAUCACGAGUGAGUGCCCCGGAAGCCGGAACGUGAGCGCGGCAUACGACGCGUGCGUGCUCCGGUACUCGCCAGCCUCCUCCUUCUCCGUCGCCGACCUCGACGUGGGCGUCCUCGAGGCCACGAGCGUCGCGGGCGUCACCGUCGACCCGACCAGGAUGUUCAACGCGUGGCUCAAGCUGAUGACCGGCCUCACGGGGCAGGCGGCGAGCUCGCCGUCGCGAGUGGCGAACGGGACCACGGCUUACGAUGGCGACGCGGCGAAGCUGGUCUACGGACUGGCGCAGUGCACCAGGGAUCUCAACGGGUCAGCGUGCUCCGGGUGCCUCUCCUCCGUGGUCGGGCAGCUCACGGCAACCUUCAAAGACCAGACCGGCGGUGCCAUCAAGGCGUACAGCUGCUACGUCAAAUACCAGCUUGGCGCCUUCGACAUCACCCUCCCACCUGAACCGCCGCAGCCAUCUCCACAGCCGCCGCCGCCGCCGCCAUCUCCACGGUCACCGCCGCCGCCGUCUGCACAGCCGGGUGAAUCAUCGUCCGGCUCCAGAAGAGCGCUUGUCAUCGGCCUCUCAGUCGGUUCCGUGUCGUCACUGAUCAUUCUUGGCUCCUUGGUCUGUCUCUCUCUACGGCGGCGGAAGAGAGCAGUUUCUUGGACGGCGACGACCUGGCCAUGGAAGACGACUUCGAGAAAGGGACCGGGCCAAAGCGGUUCCGCUACGGCGAGCUGGCCAUGGCUACUGACAGCUUCUCCGACGAGAAGAAGCUCGGGGAAGGAGGAUUCGGCUCGGUGUACAGAGGAUUCUUGA
rnacentral:rRNA from 1 species